GUUAUGAGAAAUUGAGUUUAUUUUUUCUGAUGGAAAACAUAUAAGUGUAUACGCUACAAACUGACCUAAAGAAGGGUGAAGGGUGAUGUGUGUGGAGAAGUGUUAGUUGUUCUGAUGUUUGAAAGAGCUCUAUUUAAAAGUGUGUAUGAAAGGAAGGUGUGUGUGUGUGACUGAUGAUGUCAGGGGAGCACCCAGAGAAAUAGACAGAGUUAAAUUCUAAGAAGAUGAAGCGAAUGCAUGUUUUAAGAAAAAGUAAUAAAGUAAUAAAAUUAUAUUAAUUACAGGGUUUAGAAAAGAGACAGACCGAGAGAAAUGAAUACAUGAACUAACAAUUACAUUAAUGAAUUGAAAACACACGUACACAAACUGUUACAUGUGAAAUUAUUGUUGGAAAGUUUAAUAAAGAAAGCAGUUUACACUCCUUUAAUUUCCAGAACCAGUGUGUCCCCUAGGCCUGAUAACACCCUUGCCCAGUUGGCCCCUGUAGUAGGCGGGCAUGGAAGGCUGGACAGCCCAUGACGGGUAAGAUCCCACCUCGAAACCCUGGGACAACCUAAGGCAAGGCGCAGUCACGAUUGCUUGAACCUAAGUCCCGGAGUGACCUUGGAGUCACUGGAGGAGACGGGAUUUAACAGGUAAGGCCACUGGGCACAGACGAAGGGGAAAUGUCAUUCACAAUGACCAGUGAUGAGCCAAAGAGAGAAAACACACCCUGUCAAAAGGAGUUUGGAACACUGGAAAAGAAACAUUUACAAGAUCACAAAGAUCAUAAAGAAACAUUUAUAAGAAUCACACAUACAAACAGAAAAUGCACUAACCUUACACAGACAAGCUCAUGAAGAUUAAUGAACAGAUAAUGAUUUAAAACCUGGCUAAGAACACAAACAUACGUAAUUAAAUCAGCCUGCUAAUUUCAUGAGGGUUAAAAUGGUGUGAAUGUUGAAGAAAAUACACUUAAAACACACUUGGAUAAAAUAGAGUUGUGGAAUAACUCAAACGAAGCUGUAUGACAAGGGAGUGAG
ensembl:lncRNA